UGAAGACCCAAGAGGAAUAUCAGCUAGGUGACUGCUGACUGAUGCAGUUGACUGCAGUGAUGACUCUAAACCCGACAAGACCAGAUGUUCGUGUUCUGAGAAACCUGGUGACCGGCAACUUCUCUCCAGUCCAGACCAGCAAAUCAGAUGACCUGAAGACACAGUGAGUUUGUACAGGUGUGUCCUGAGUGUCAGCUGUCCUGAUGUUCCUGUCCUGACUGGGAGAAACCUGUGAUGACCAGCGACUCCUGUCCAAACCAGACCAGAUGAGGGCUGAGAAGACUGGUUGACUUGAAGACUGGUGGAAUGAAGAGAUUU